UACGUAGGGUGCGAGCGUUGUCCGGAAUUAUUGGGCGUAAAGGGCUCGUAGGCGGUUUGUCACGUCGGGGGUGAAAACUCGGGGCUCAACCCCGAGCCUGCUUCCGAUACGGGCAGACUAGAGGUAUGCAGGGGAGAAUGGAAUUCCUGGUGUAGCGGUGAAAUGCGCAGAUAUCAGGAGGAACACCGGUGGCGAAGGCGGUUCUCUGGGCAUUACCUGACGCUGAGGAGCGAAAGUGUGGGGAGCGAACAGG
rnacentral:rRNA from 1 species